rnacentral:rRNA from 1 species
AGCAGCCGCGGUAAUUCCAGCUCCAAUAGCGUAUAUUAAAGUUGUUGCAGUUAAAAGCUCGUAGUUGAAUUUCGGGGUUAGUAGGUUGGUCAUGCCUCUGGUAUGUACUGGUCUCACUGAUUCCUCCUUCCUGAUGAACCGUAAUGCCAUUAAUUUGGUGUUGCGGGGAAUUUGGACUGUUACUUUGAAAAAAUUAGAGUGUUUAAAGCAAGCUAACGCUUGAAUACAUUAGCAUGGAAUAAUGAAAUAGGACGUUCGAUCCUAUUUUGUUGGUUUCUAGGAUUGACGUAAUGAUUAAUAGGGAUAGUUGGGGGCAUUAGUAUUCAAUUGUCAGAGGUGAAAUUCUUGGAUUUAUUGAAGACUAACUACUGCGAAAGCAUUUGCCAAGGAUGUUUUCAUUAAUCAAGAACGAAAGUUAGGGGAUCGAAGACGAUCAGAUACCGUCGUAGUCUUAACCAUAAACUAUGCCGACUAGGGAUCGGAUGAUGUUAAUUUUUUCAAUGACUCAUUCGGCGCCUUA